UGCCAUUUAAUCCUUACAAGAACAAUGGGGU
rnacentral:piRNA from 1 species